rnacentral:rRNA from 1 species
AAGGAAUAUUGGGCAAUGGAGGCAACUCUGACCCAGCCAUGCCGCGUGCAGGAAGACGGCCCUACGGGUUGUAAACUGCUUUUAAUAGGGAGUAAUGUUAGUUACGAGUAACUAAUUGCAAGUACCUAUAGAAUAAGGAUCGGCUAACUCCGUGCCAGCAGCCGCGGUAAUACGGAGGAUCCAAGCGUUAUCCGGAUUUAUUGGGUUUAAAGGGUGCGCAGGCGGACUAAUAAGUCAGUGGUGAAAUCUACAUGCUUAACAUGUAAUGUGCCAUUGAUACUGUUAGACUAGUAUGCAAAUGACGUAGCUGGAAUGUGUUAUGUAGCGGUGAAAUGCUUAGAUAUAACACAGAACACCGAUCGUGAAGACAGGUUACGAAUUUGUUAUAGACGCUCAUGCACGAAAGCGUGGGGAUCAAAC